ensembl:lncRNA
AGGCAAAGUGAGGACACACGCCACAUCCAGCGUUGCAACUUUUCAUUAGUUUAACUUAAGAUAACUCACUUGAUAAGAAAUUCAAAUGAAGUCAUUAAAAGUCUCCUCUGGGUUCAGACCAACAAAGGUCUCAUUUGUUUCUUAUCCUCUCUUAGUAAGUCUGCCUCUCUCUUUUUAAGCAGACUCAGUUUUGAAUACCAGACAUUUGUUGUUGCUGGCAUCUCAUACCUAUUAAUCACAGCUGCUUAUCUUGUCAUGCCCGUACAAAAUAGUUGUUUCAUGUUUCUGAAUUAUCUCCUGCAACAUUACUGACAGUAUCCCUGGCAGGAUUCAAGAAGGGGCUAUGGAGGCUAUUAUAUGCAGAUAUCUUGAUACAGAGAGCUGUACAUUUAUGGGAAUUCAUUAAAAGGAGAUGCAGCAUUGGAAAGUAGAUCGUAAAAUCCAGGCUGUUGAGCUGGAGCUCGCUGUAACCUUGUUUAUGCUGCCAUUUCUCUUCCAGACCCAUUCUAAGAACAGAACAAAUCCUUGUGACAAGAAUGCCAUUGCCCUGGAUCUGGAUCUGGAAAACCUGGAUGUUUGGACUCUCAUUCUGACAGCACCCAUUGGAUCCAUUGUGGCUGUCACACUCUCUGUCCUCCCUAUUGGACCGGCACUAUCUGGAGGAUUGCACAGAGCUGGAAAACAAUAAAUGAGUGUCUAUCAUCUUGAGAUGAUAAGCAUCUGGUGCUAGAGGUAAUAAUGAGAUGAUCUGGGGCCUUCAGGCACUUGGCAGAAUUUCACCCAAAAGUAUAUGAGCACACAGACGGCAGAUUCUGAUUUUGCACAAAGGGUUUAUAAAAACAGCACAUAUGCUAGAACCAGUAUCCAGCAUUAGACUUUGAAUGUAAACCCUUCUCCUCCCCAAAAUGACAAUUUUUUAUUAUUCAUGACCUCAUCUGAAAUUAUUUGUUGCCAAAACACUAUUCUUUUGUUUGUUUUUACUUUUACACAGCAAUCAACCCUGUCUAUUAUUAGUUUUAGUUGUUCUGCCAAGUGCAAUGUGAGAGGUGAUAUAUUAUGUGUGCAUUGUUGUGUUUUCAUAAAUAUUAUGCAUCUCGGUUUCAAUGAGUUAUCUUUUCGGACAGUGUGGAUUUUGUGAAUCACAUCAAGCUCUUUUAUUUCUGUGGUUUCUGUGAGUCUUAUAAAAAGUCCUAAUUCAGCUGUUCCACCAAUUUAGGCCAACAAAUAUCUUAAAUCGGAGUAAAAAGCCAAAAAUUCAUAAAGUCAUAGAAUUUCCGCAGUAUUUUUGCACAAAUACAAAUAUUUCAGCUUCCUUAAAGCAAGAUGUAUUUACUUGAGGUCUUGAGGUCUUGAGGUCCUGUAUUCUGAACAAUUUAGUGGAAAACAAUGUAAAAAUACUGAGAAAGAUCACCAAAAUGUCUUAAAUUGACCUUCAUAAAACUCUAAAACUCUAGAUUUCUGAAGGAUGAACACAUGAGCUUGAUUCCUCCUUGAUUCCUCCUAUAUCUCAGCAAGAAGAGGACAGGGAAUUCUGAUACCGAACCUGGAAACUGAGAUAUUCUAAUGAGUCUUGGCUGCUGAUGUUUUUACUCGUCAGAUUUUUUGCCCUCAACAGUUAAUUAGUUUCACAUUUAAUGAAGUUUUAAUUAGUUUUUCGAAGCCACAAAAUGAUUCAGCCACAGAUUUCUUCUUAUUUAUAAAGACAGUUACAAAUGAGUUAACGUGUACUAGAAAUAUGAGAUUAUGGCACCCCUGCUGUGGUCAGUCUAAUAGUUCACUCCGCUUAAUCACUGACUUCCCUUCACUUAAGGGAAGAGUACUACAGUUCUGAAGUGUCGUUAAAUCAUGUACAUUUGAUGAAGCUGAUGUGUGUAAUUUUUUCAGUGAUAAAAUAUUUUCUGUAAUUCAACUAUCUUUAUGUCUCACCAAUGACAGACAGGAUGUUUGGGAAACCUUUAUUUAUUUUAUUUUAUUUUAUUUUAUUUUAUUUUAUUUUAUUUUAAAUAUAAUUUUUCUAUUUCUCUCUAUUUGCUUUUUUCUUAGUUCUAUUUUGGAUGUGUUUUGAAAUAAGACCAAAAUUUCAAGAAGCAAAAGAAUAAGUCUUAUUUUG